rnacentral:rRNA from 1 species
ACGUAGGUCACAAGCGUUGUCCGGAAUUACUGGGCGUAAAGGGAGCGCAGGCGGGAAGACAAGUUGGAAGUGAAAUCUAUGGGCUCAACCCAUAAACUGCUUUCAAAACUGUUUUUCUUGAGUAGUGCAGAGGUAGGCGGAAUUCCCGGUGUAGCGGUGGAAUGCGUAGAUAUCGGGAGGAACACCAGUGGCGAAGGCGGCCUACUGGGCACCAACUGACGCUGAGGCUCGAAAGUGUGGGUAGCAAACAG